rnacentral:sRNA from 1 species
AGAUGCAGUGGUGGCCUGGCUGCAGUACCUGUCACCUCACUGAUCACCAAGAUCGAUUCAGCCGAUCCAGCUGGCUAGGCCAGUGUCCUCUUCCUCACUCACUACUCCUCCUGUGUCCCUCCCAAAGCAGAGCUGUGCUCAAAGAGGACAGGCUUCUAUUAAGGGGUGGGUCAUUCUUUGGUCAAGACUAUGCUCCUCUGUUGGAACCUCUGUUGGAACCUCCCAUGUCCAUGAAUCCUCCAUGAUGGCUG